rnacentral:rRNA from 1 species
AGGUCCAGCCUGCCCAGUGACUACAAGUUCAACGGCCGCGGUAUUUUGACCGUGCAAAGGUAGCGCAAUCACUUGUCUUUUAAAUAGAGACCUGUAUGAAUGGCUAAACGAGGGCUUAACUGUCUCCCCUUUCCAGUCAGUGAAAUUGAUCUGCCCGUGCAGAAGCGGACAUAAAAAUACAAGACGAGAAGACCCUUUGGAGCUUAAGGUACAAAACUCAACCACGUCAAGCAACUCAAUAAAAAGCAAAAACCUUGUGGAACAUGGGAUUUUACCUUCGGUUGGGGCGACCACGGAGGAAAACAAAGCCUCCAAGUGGACUGGGAAAACCUCCUAAAACCAAGAGAGACAUCUCUAAGCCACAGAACAUCUGACCAAACAUGAUCCGGCUACCCAAAGCCGAUCAACGAACCAAGUUACCCUAGGGAUAACAGCGCAAUCCUCUCCCAGAGUCCAUAUCGACGAGAGGGUUUACGACCUCGAUGUUGGAUCAGGACAUCCUAAUGGUGCAGCCGCUAUUAAGGGUUCGUUUGUUCAACGAUUAAAGUCCUACGUGAUCUGAGUUCAGACCGG